GGGUGGGGGAAAGGGGAGGCUGGAGUCCCAUCUAAGCCUGCCUCUUGCCUCCCAGCUGCAAGAGCCACACUGGCACCGAAUACAAUAAAGGUCUUCUCCAUUUUCCAGAAGAGUGAACUGAGGCUUAACUGAGGCCCCUUUGUUCAACAUGGGCUUGAAGGCUACACCCAGGCUUCUCCUCUGUUACCUUCCGGACUACUAGGGGCCUCCCUCCCGCCUCCACUAGUCCAAAGUUCUGAGGGGAGGCCUGGAGAGACCAAUCUGAUGCCCCUCCUUAGAGAUGGGGAAACUGAGGCCCAGAGCCCAGGAGCAGGAAGCAAGGUCACUCAGCGAGCCAGGCACAGCGCCGGCCCGGGGUCCAGAGCUCUUCCGCGACCGGCCCCCACGCCCAGUCCAGCACGGUGCUGUCCGGUGGUCUCACCUCCAGCACCACGCGGCCGAGCGGCUGCCCGUCGGCGCCCACGUCCAGGUCUGUUCCAAGGAUAAAAUGAAGAGAGAGAGGAUUUGUCAGCUGUUAAGUACCGUGCCAUGAGCAUCAGUGAUGGACAGAGUCUAGAUGGUCUUUUUUUUUUUUUUAAACCUCUGAUUCUUUUGUGUGUGCUCAGCUGCGAAAUCAUUUCUACCUGUGCUGACCUCAGUGGCAUCAGGAGCAAGGACUGUCUCUGGGCUGAGCCAUGAACUGGAACAUGCCCAUCCCCAGGUGAGAUGGGGUAGGUGUCACCACUCAGCCUCUAUGGCUAUUUAUAGACUCUGUGUCAUCCUCAGAAACGGCAGUUUCUCUCCACUCAGCCCGAGUGGCUUCUUAUCCAGGGUGUUAAUGGAUUUCAUCACUCAGGGACCCUGUAAUGCCAUCUUUAGGCCUCACAGAGCCAAAGAACAGUCAGGACAUGCUGACAUCCAGGGGUUGCAAACUCAUAUACCGGUUGGGGCCAGGCAGAGACACACUGGGGUGAAGUGUGCUGGGCAAGGCUAUAGGGAAUACGUGGACGUGGGACUGUGUCCAAACACCACAAUUAAAGGGGCAGCUCCUGCCCAGGCCAGUCAAUUUUUGUAUGUGGACAAUGGGUCCAGUGUAGCCAGAUCUUUUCAUUUUUCAAUAAAAACUAAAAACACUAUGUUUGGUGGAAAUCUCCCAACUUUUAAAUUUGGGAACUCAUUUUAAAAUAAAAUUAAACCCUGAAUGAGCCCUAAACAACAUAUUUACAACCUAGCUAGGGCCUCUGAGCCAAUAGUUUAUAAGCUCUGAUCUCCACUGUGUAAAUGAGAGAACUGAAGCUCAGAGAGGGACAGAAGCUUGCCCAUGGUCACACAGCCUCAAAGUACUAGAACUGUGGUCAAACCCCUCUCUUCACACUUGCCAGGGCCCUUUCUACAAGAUUCACUCAGCAGACAUGUUUUCAGAGCACCUACUAAAUGCCGGGCCUGAGCCUUGCCCUCAGAUACAGAAUACCUCCGGCCUCUCCCAGGCUGCCUGUGUGCCGGGCAGGGGUGAAUGUUGUGGUCGCCAUAGGGUAUGAAGUUACAGGGGUCCUGAAGAGCCUUCCAGGAGGGGCUGGGAGUGAAGGAGGCCCUGCUGUGGUCAUGGGGUGGGGUUUUCAUGAACGAUCAAUGCCAGUGUCUGUCCCUGGGACAAUGUGCCUUAGGUAGGAGGCCUUGGACUCCAUUUCUCUUGGUUCCAUCUGGGGGACUGGGGUCCAGGAGAGCAUCUGUCAUGGGAAGCUGACAGGGAGCCCAGAAGAGAGGUUCUUGGGUGAGAACCCAAAAAGUGAACCAGAGCCUGCUAACAGGCCACCGUGAUCACGUCAUUCUCUGGGGGAAUUCCCCCGAGGCAUUCCCAGGCUUCUCAAAGUCAUUCUCAAUGCAUCAGCCUCCCUCUGCUGCUUCCAGGAAACAUGGGUGUGUCUGGUCCCGAGCAUGGUCUGAAGCAGAGCAUUGUGGGAGUCAGGAAGAGGUGAGCAGGGGAGGUUUCUCUCAAGGCCCAGGGUGGUGGUGGGCACAGUGAGCAGAGAGAGGCCUCAAGGGGGAGGUCUGGAGAAACUCCUCUUCAGAGUCCAGCUGGGCUUUAAAGGUCACCUGUGCAGGGCUUCCCCGGUGGGCGCAGUGGUUAAGAAUCCACCUGCCGCGAUGUAGGGGACACAGGUUCGAGCCCUGGCCCAGGAAGAUUCCCAUGUGCCGCGGAGCAACUAAGCCACAACUAGUGAGCCCACGUGCCAAAACUGCU